rnacentral:rRNA from 1 species
AUUGAACGCUGGCGGCAUGCCUUACACAUGCAAGUCGAACGGUAACAGGGUGCUUGCACCGCUGACGAGUGGCGAACGGGUGUGUAAUGCGUCGGAACGUGCCGAGUAGUGGGGGAUAACGCAGCGAAAGUUGUGCUAAUACCGCAUACGUACUGAGGUAGAAAGUGGGGGACCUUCGGGCCUCACGCUAUUCGAGCGGCCGACGUCUGAUUAGCUAGUAGGUGAGGUAAAGGCUCACCUAGGCGACGAUCAGUAGCGGGUCUGAGAGGAUGAUCCGCCACACUGGGACUGAGACACGGCCCAGACUCCUACGGGAGGCAGCAGUGGGGAAUUUUGGACGAUGGGCGAAAGCCUGAUCCAGCCAUGCCGCGUGUCUGAAGAAGGCCUUCGGGUUGUAAAGGACUUUUGUCAGGGAGGAAAUCCCUAGUGCUAAUAACACUGGGGGAUGACAGUACCUGAAGAAUAAGCACCGGCUAACUACGUGCCAGCCGCCGCGGUAA